rnacentral:rRNA from 1 species
AACGAACGCUGGCGGCAUGCCUAACACAUGCAAGUCGAACGAGACCUUCGGGUCUAGUGGCGCACGGGUGCGUAACGCGUGGGAACCUGCCCUUAGGUUCGGAAUAACUCCCCGAAAGGGGUGCUAAUACCGGAUAAUGUCUUCGGACCAAAGAUUUAUCGCCUUUGGAUGGGCCCGCGUUGGAUUAGCUAGUUGGUAGGGUAAAAGCCUACCAAGGCGACGAUCCAUAGCUGGUCUGAGAGGAUGAUCAGCCACACUGGGACUGAGACACGGCCCAGACUCCUACGGGAGGCAGCAGUGGGGAAUAUUGGACAAUGGGCGAAAGCCUGAUCCAGCAAGGCCGCGUGAGUGAUGAAGGCCUUAGGGUUGUAAAGCUCUUUUACCCGGGAUGAUAAUGACAGUACCGGGAGAAUAAACUCCGGCUAACUCCGU